AUCAAAGAAACGCCCUAACUUUGAUAUUCAAUUGAGGAACUCCUCAAUGUCCAAUAAUCCAUCGAAUGAAGGUAAAUCCAUACACAACCGAUAAUUUCCAUACUCUUCGACAUAAUUACAAUGAUUCCCAUGAACUUGUUGGCAAUCAUCUAUUCAUAAUUUCAUAUCGGUAAUCAUCCCUCAAUACCUUGUCUAUCUCUACAAUAUUAUUCGUUCUCGUGAUAAUGAGCAUAUUGUUAACUUGGCAUCUGACAUUGUUAUCAUCCUGAUUAGCGUGUUGAUGCCAAUCAUUUUGACAACAUUCAUUGUAAAUUCAUAAAAUCUAGUCAUAUGUGAAAGUUCCCGUUCCUCCUCAAAUGAAGACAGGAGAAACAUCUCCAUAAUGCAUUUUGACGAAGAAAUUCUUAUUAGUUCUUCAUCCAUAACUACUUGUCUACCAUCCACAUGAAGAAAAAGAAAUUCUUAAUGUUCUAAUUUAUUCUUAUGUCGCCUAUUCCCAAAAUUAUGAUGUAUCUUAUUUUUAUCCAAACCCCUGAUAAUAAAUUGAUUAAUUAUAUCUAUUUUUUAAUUGUACUUAUUCCAGAGCCAUACUACUCCCCUUAGUGGAAAACCUGAAUGACAUCUUAAGAAAAAUCCUAAACAUUCCCAAACCCACCACAAACCACCCAAACAUCAUGUUAGGAGAACUUACUGAAGCUUGUCAAAAAUUUACACAUCACUCUCCAAUCUGGGGUUUAUUAUGGAAUGCAAUUGGAACUCUAUGAUGGUACAUAUGGAUAGAAAGAAACCGAAGAUGGAAGUAGCACACCCUCAGACCACCAAAAACAAUACUCAAAGAGGUGAUCAAAGACAUCAGCAUCUCCUUCAAGAAAAGUUGUUGUCACCGCUUGGAGAUAGGCACAGUUCAAAUAUGGGAGACCAACCACCUGAGGCAGAUAGCCUGAUGUUACUUUAGGAAAAAUGGUUGAGUGAAAAGUAUCAAGAUGGCACAUGCUCAUUAGUCAUCUCCAUAUUUUUCUUCAUUAUAAACAGGGUAUUGCCCCACAUUUAUAGUUAAAUGAAAAAAAAAAUUAAUGAAUUAAAACUUUCAUUUCUGAAAAAUAAGUUUGGGCCCGAGGUUACACAUGUAGGGAAAUGCAAAUACAAAAGUAUAAAGACAUUGUCACUCUCUUACACAACUGUAACCAUGACUAGCUAACCAAGGGCCGAUGCCUCAAGAGGUAAGACUCGCAAAAACAUAUGGCCUGAAUUUCAAUUUGUGAUAGAUUGUUCUUAAAAAAUGUGGCUCCAUGUGCAAUGCUCACAUCCUUUAAGAUUUCUCUACUGGCAAUUUCUGGAGGACUUAGGGUGUAUUGUUUUAAUAUCCUAUUCCUUUCAUACCAUAGGUGCUAGGAAAGGAUGCUAGUAAUAAGUAAUAACCAAUGUAUGCAAUUGGCUUUGUGUGUAAAUUUUUGGAUUGUUUCCAUUAUGUCUCCUAUUCUAAUAUCUAUUGUGGGCAAGCUUUUUGACGCGGCCAGGCGACCAGGCUAUGCCUGGGACCGCAUAUCGCAUAUGCGGUCCAAUAUGCGACAUGUAUUUUUUUUUUUUCAAUAUACCCCCUGUAUUUUCUAUAUUUUAAAUAAAUCCCUGAUAUUAUAACAGUCCUACACCGGCUACACAAUUUUAUUUAUAUUCAUUAUUCAGCACCUCCUUCUAUAGUAUCAAUACCCACCAAAAUACAGUCCUACACCGGCUACACGUUAGGUGUGUAACUGUGUAUACCGUAUACGCGAUUUCAGGAUUUCUACCUUGGGCGAUUUCGCAAAAUACAGUAGCAGAGGAAGGCAAGCAGCAGCGGAAGGCAAGCAGCAGCGGAAAUCAGUAGCAGCGGCCAGCGGAUUUCACGAUUUCAGUUUCAGACUUUUUUCACGAUUUGAGUUUCACGAUUUCACGAUUUAGGGUUUAGUGUUUUUUAUUUAAAUGGGUCUUUUUAAUAAGGUCCUUAAGUUUUAAUAAAAUAAUAGAAUUCAUUUAAAGUUUUUCAAUUUUAAUAGGGUACAUGGAUCGGGUUUAGCCGGAUCCGACCCGGAUCCGGCUAAACCCAAUAAUAUGCGACCCCCCAAAUAUGCGAUGGGGGGUUACCGCCUGGUCGCAUAUGCGACAAAUCAAAAAGCUUGAUUGUGGGUGUGGGGGGCUCUGACCCCUCAUUGUCCAAAUAGCGUUGUUAAGCCGACUGAUGGAUUUUAGCAGUAGGUCUCUACUGUAUUCACAAUUAAAGAAAAGAUGUUGUAAUGUCUCUUCCUCUUUUUUUUGAGUUAAUAAUGUCUCUUCCUCCUGCCCACAUAGGGGGCAUAUUCAUAGUUCCGGAUGCGCCUUGGAAGCAUCUCCCUUAGCAUGCGAUUUUUAAAAUAAAUUAAUUAAUUUUUUUUUUUAAAAAUUAUCUUCCUUCAUCUUUUUCUCCAUCUCAUUUCAGAGUUCAGACAUCUCAUUUCAAAGAUUAGGGUUGUGUUUUUUUUAAUUAAUUUGUUAUUUUUUAAGGUUUUCGAAAUGGCUAAAUUUAAUGAAAACAAUGAGGGUGAAGUGGUGAACCCCAACCUGAACCUAUAGAUGUAAAUCAUUUAUUCUAUAAACGGCUAAAGAAGACACAUGAUCACCUAUAGAUCGUAUUGUGUAUUUCAAGUUUGAACUAGUCUAUGUGUUUUGAACUACUUUAACUAUUUUGAUAUAUUUUAUGAAGUAGAUAUAUUUUAGGUAUAUAAAAAAUAUAUAAAAAACCUUUAUUUUAUAUAUAUUUACGAAAAUGCCACUGGCGCAAAGACGUGCUUUUGCGCGCAAAAGCUCAAGUGCUCCAGGUGGUGGCGCAUCCUGAACCUUGGGCAUAUUAUUUGAAGAUUAAAUGAAAUCUUAAUUGCUUCAAUAUAUAUAUAUAUAUAUUGAUUAUUUCCCUAAAAUUUGGAUACUUUCUUGACUGUGCAUACAUCAUUAAUGGUCUGAAAACAUCUAAUCCCCAUUCCUCUCUCAUCCUUAGGUAGUAUCAUCUUUUCCCAAGAAAAUCCAGGUUUUCUCCCAUCCCAUAUGAAAUUAUUGGGAUACCUAGGUACUGGAAAGACAAUGUCUUUGAGAUGUCCUGAAAACCUUGAAACAGUAGAUUUAUGGUGCAAACUUUGGAGUAAUAAACUACACUGUUUAUCCUUAUUAAUCUCUAAAUCAGUUUACUUGGGGAAAAAAUUCCAGAAUUUCCUCUAUUGAGUCUAUAAACCAAGAAAAAAGUCACAUGGCUCUUAAAUCUAUAAUAGUAUAUAACAAACUUAAGUAGUCACCAACUGUGAAAGAUAGGAUAAUAAUACUACAAAAGAAAUAAGACUAUUUAAUAAAACAGCAGAGUGAGAAAUGAGUACAUCAGCAAUUUGAAGGUAUGGGUCCUCCAUUGAUCUGUGAAGCUUUGCCUUGAACUCAUACAUCACUUUUUCUACCUCUUCAAGAACACGUUUUAGAAUCCCCACCUGAAAGUAAAAAGAAGUUCAAAUGGUAGGGAGUUAGGAUCGUAGAAGCAUGAUUAACAAUGAUCAUUUCGUAUAAAAUUUGUAACUGUAACUGUAAAAUUUCGUUUGAAUGAAGAAUGUCAAUUUUAUUUGACGAGUUUAAUUUGUAUGACACAGUUGAACACUUGAACUAGAUCAUGUCAAAGAACUCCAUCAAGGACUAAAAUAUUAAAGAUAAGAAGCAUCCAGGUAAUGAACCAUGUUCAAUUGCCAUUGGUAUAAUGGUAUAUACUAAAACAUGUAAUACAAAUAUACAAUAUAAUAAAUUCCAG
rnacentral:lncRNA from 1 species